rnacentral:rRNA from 1 species
UAUGUGAUCGUCUCUCGCAUAUCAAUAAGCGGAGGAAAAGAAACUAACAAGGAUUCCCCUAGUAACGGCGAGUGAAGCGGGAAGAGCUCAAAUUUGAAAUCUUAAAGGGUUUCCCUUUACGAAUUGUAGUUUAAAGAAGUGUUUACUGUUGAGGUUUUGGUAAAAGUUCUUUGGAAUAGGACAUCAUAGAGGGUGAGAAUCCCGUAUUUGACCUUUACUUUCAACUUUGUGAUACACUUUCAAAGAGUCGGAUUGUUUGGGAAUGCAGUCCAAAAUGGGUGGUAAAUUUCAUCUAAAGCUAAAUAUUGGCGAGAGACCGAUAGCGAACAAGUACCGUGAGGGAAAGAUGAAAAGAACUUUGAAAAGAGAGUUAAACAGUACGUGAAAUUGUCAAAAGGGAAGCGUUUGACACCAGUGUUGUUUUUCUGAAAAUCAAUUAAAGAACUGUUUAUGCUAAGCUGUUUAGACUUUAUCAGCUAACUGUUUAGUUUUGAGCUUUUCUUUAAUGCACUUUUCAGUUAACAAGUCAACAUCAAUUUCUUUUGCUGUAAAAAAGCUUGAGGAAGGUGGCUUGAGAUUCGUCUUAAGUGUUUAUAGCCUCUUGCCUAUGCAGUCGGAGAGAUUGAGGUCUGCAGCGUAGAUCCUUCGGGGCUGAAUGCAUUUGUGCUAAGUUAUAGCAUUUUAUAGACAACUUGUUGACUAUGAUUUGUCUUGUAGCUUACUCGCUUAUGUUAUUUUACCUACGCUUAGGAUGUUGAGUAGCGACAUACGCAC